rnacentral:rRNA from 1 species
AUUGAACGCUGGCGGCAUGCCUUACACAUGCAAGUCGAACGGCAGCACGGGAGCAAUCCUGGUGGCGAGUGGCGAACGGGUGAGUAAUAUAUCGGAACGUGCCCAGUGAUGGGGGAUAGCCCGGCGAAAGCCGGAUUAAUACCGCAUACGACCUACGGGUGAAAGCAGGGGAUCGCAAGACCUUGCGUCAUUGGAGCGGCCGAUAUCAGAUUAGCUUGNGGUGGGGUAAAGCCUACCAAGGCGACGAUCUGUAGCUGGUCUGAGAGGACGACCAGCCACACUGGGACUGAGACACGGUCCAGACUCCUACGGGAGGCAGCAGUGGGGAAUUUUGGACAAUGGGGGCAACCUGAUCCAGCCAUUCCGCGUGAGUGAAGAA